rnacentral:rRNA from 1 species
CAAUAGCGUAUAUUAAUGUUGUUGCAGUUAAAAAGCUCGUAGUCGGAUUUUGGGUUGUUGUGCGUGGUCCGCCGAAAGGUGAGUACUGCGUGCGGCAGCCUUCCUUCGCGAAAGCUGCGUGUGCUCUUCAUUGGGUGUGCGUAGGGUUCGUGACUUUUACUGUGAAAAAAUUAGAGUGUUCAAAGCAGGCCAUCGCUUGAAUACUGCAGCAUGGAAUAAUGGAAUAGGACUUUGGUUCUAUUUUGUUGGUUUCUAGGACCGAAGUAAUGGUUAAUAGGAACAGUUGGGGGCAUUGGUAUUUCUGAGUCAGAGGUGAAAUUCUUGGAUUUCAGAAAGACUAACUACUGCGAAAGCAUUUGCCAAGGAUGUUUUCAUUGA